rnacentral:rRNA from 1 species
GACAGAGGGUGCAAACGUUGUUCGGAAUUACUGGGCGUAAAGCGAGUGUAGGCGGUCUUGUAAGUCGGGUGUGAAAGCCCCGGGCUCAACCCGGGAAGUGCACUCGAAACUGCGAGGCUAGAGUAUCGGAGAGGUUGGUGGAAUUCUCGGUGUAGAGGUGAAAUUCGUAGAUAUCGAGAGGAACACCGGUGGCGAAGGCGGCCAACUGGACGAAUACUGACGCUGAGACUCGAAAGCGUGGGGAGCAAACAGG